GCCAGGCGCGGUGGCGCGUGCCUGUAGUCCCAGCUACUCGGGAGGCUGAGGUGGGAGGAUCGCUUGAGCCAGGAAUUCCGGACUGUAGUGCGCUAUGCCGAUCGGGUGUCCGCAUUAAGUUCGGCAUCAAUAUGGUGACCUCCCGGGAGCGGGGGACCUCCAGGUUGCCUAAGGAGGGGUGAACCGGCCCAGGUCGGAAACGGAGCAGGUCAAAACUCCUGUGCUGAUCAGUAGUGGGAUCGCGCCUGUGAAUAGCCACUGCACUCCAGCCUGGGCAACAUAGCGAGACCCUGUCUCU
rnacentral:SRP_RNA from 1 species